rnacentral:rRNA from 1 species
GUAUUUGUUAAGUUCUUGAAACCUAAAGGAUUUGGCGGUAUUUUAGUCCUUUCAGAGGAACCUGUCCCUUAAUCGACAUUCCACGAUUUUAUUUACUUAAUUUUGUAUUCAGUUUGUAUACCUCCGUCAUAAGAAUAUCUUUUUAGAGUUAAUUUUCUUUUUUAUUAAAUAUAUAUAUGUCAGGUCAAGGUGCAGCUUAUAGUUAAGUGGAGAUGGGUUACAUUAAAAUUAUUUAUACGGAUGUACAUUUUUAUUUUGUGCUUAAGGUGGAUUUGAAAGUAAAUUUAUUUAUUAGGUUUUUUGAUUUUGGCUCUGAAAUAUGCACAC